CAAAAUGCAGGAAGAACUCAGCAGGCCAGGCAGCAUCAAUGGAAGAGAGUAAAUUGUCGACGUUUCAGGCCGAGAUCCUUCAUCAGGACUGGAAAAAAAAACAUUGUAGUUGUAGAUUUGCUUAUAAUUAAGAUAAGGUGAAUGAACUGACGGCAUGGAUCGCCUCUAUGGACUGUGAUAUUGGGGCCAUAACACAAAAGUGACAAAGGAAAGAACAGCACGGCAUCUCAAUGUUUGGGGAUACCCACGCUGUAGGCAUGAUGGAGGAACAGGCAACAGUGGAUGAGGCACUUACAGUAAAACGACAUAACAGAAUUUAACAAAAAGAGCAUACAAACAGGCCGUCUGACAAGCACCAAAGUGCAAAAGAAGACAAACUGUGCAAAUAAAAAUAAUACUGAACAUGUGAGCUGUGAAGACUCCUUGAAGAAAAUUGUCAAUGAUUGAUUACGUUAAGUAAAAUGGCUGAGGAAUGUUUCAUUUCCGGAGCUGAUUAUCUGUUAUUUGUGAAGUGGGGUGCCGUGCGCAAUCAUAAUUGAUAGAAAACGGACAUGGUAGCACGGAGGAACAUUGGGAAAUCUCCAGGAAGACCUUCUUCGUUGCUGCUGCUGCUGUGAGGUCCGGGACUCUGCUGGGAAGAACAGGCCCCCAGUCCUCGGGGUCGCGUUGGCGUGGCCGUCUUAAUACGCUCGGCAGAGGAUGGUGCUUGGAGAAGCUGUGCCGGAGGGGAUGGCCGGAGACUCGAAGGUUCGCUGCGGUCAGGUCACUUUUGGUGUGUGCUGUGUCUGCGAGGCUGGUUUCGACGGAGCUUUCAAUGUGUGCUGCGUCUGCGAGGCUGAGUCGGGCGGCGCCGUGGAAGUCCAUAGCGGGGGUAUUCCCUUCUACUGCCAGUGUGGGAUUCUGAGUCUGUUGGGACCCUGGGGACUUGUGGAAACUGGUGAUUUCUUUUGAACUUAUAGUCUUUUAACAUCUUUGGACUAUUUUUACUGUGCCCAUGGUCUGUUUUUUUUUAAUCAAUUAUGCUAUUGUUUGCACUGUUGUAACUAUAUGUUGUAAUUAUGUGGUUUUGUGCAGGUCUUGUAGCUUUAGUUUUUGGUCUUGU